AAUGAACGUUGGCGGCAUGGAUUAGGCAUGCAAGUCGAGCGAGAAGUGUAGCAAUACACGGAAAGCGGCGGAAGGGAGAGUAAUACGUGGGAAUCUGCCCUUAGACCUGGGAUAGCAGCGGGAAACUGCUGGUAAUACCAGAUAAUGUCUAUGGACCAAAGGUGUGAUUCCGUCUAGGGAUGAGCCCACGUCCUAUUAGCUAGUUGGUAGGGUAAUGGCCUACCAAGGCGAUGAUGGGUAGCGGGCGUGAGGGCAUGACCCGCCUCACUGGGACUGAGACACUGCCCAGACACCUACGGGUGGCUGCAGUCGAGAAUCUUCGGCAAUGGGCGCAAGCCUGACCGAGCGAUGCCGCGUGCGGGAUGAAGGCCUUCGGGUUGUAAACCGCUGUCGAGGGGGAGCAACUUCCAUAGAGUUAUCUUUAUGGAUUGAGUGAUCCCUGGAGGAAGGACGGGCUAAGUUCGUGCCAGCAGCCGCCGUAAUAC
rnacentral:rRNA from 1 species